CUACGGGUGGCAGCAGUGAGGAAUAUUGAACAAUGGGGGGAACCCUGAUGCAGCAACGCCGCGUGGAGGAUGACGCAUUUCGGUGUGUAAACUCCUUUUAUAUGUCAAGAAAAUGACGGUAGCAUAUGAAUAAGCACCGGCUAACUCCGUGCCAGCAGCCGCGGUAAUACGGAGGGUGCAAGCGUUACUCGGAAUCACUUGGCGUAAAGGACGCGUAGGCGGGCUUGUAAGUCAGGUGUGAAAUCCUACAGCUUAACUGUAGAACUGCACUUGAAACUACGAGCCUAGAGUAUGGGAGGGGCAGAUGGAAUUAGUGGUGUAGGGGUAAAAUCCGUAGAUAUCACUAGGAAUACCUAAAGCGAAGGCGAUCUGCUGGAACAUAACUGACGCUAAGGCGUGAAAGCGUGGGGAGCAAACAGGAUUAGAUACCCUAGUAGUC
rnacentral:rRNA from 1 species